rnacentral:rRNA from 2 species
GCAUAUCAAUAAGCGGAGGAAAAGAAACCAACAGGGAUUCCCCUAGUAACGGCGAGUGAAGCGGGAACAGCUCAAAUUUGAAAUCUGGCCCUUGGGUCCGAGUUGUAAUUUGCAGAGGAUGCUUUUGGUGCGGUGCCUUCCGAGUUCCCUGGAACGGGACGCCUUAGAGGGUGAGAGCCCCGUACGGUUGGCCACCAAGCCUGUGUAAAGCUCCUUCGACGAGUCGAGUAGUUUGGGAAUGCUGCUCAAAAUGGGAGGUAUAUUUCUUCUAAAGCUAAAUACUGGCCAGAGACCGAUAGCGCACAAGUAGAGUGAUCGAAAGAUGAAAAGCACUUUGAAAAGAGGGUUAAAUAGCACGUGAAAUUGUUGAAAGGGAAGGAUUUAUGACCAGACUUUUUCUGGGGGGAUCAUCCGGUGUUCUCACCGGUGCACUUCCCCCAGUUGAGGCCAGCAUCGGUUUCUGCCGGGGGAUAAAAGCUUUGGGAAUGUGGCUCCUUCGGGAGUGUUAUAGCCCGUUGCAUAAUACCCUGGCGGGGACCGAGGUUCGCGCAUUGCAAGGAUGCUGGCGUAAUGGUUAUUAAUCACCCGUCUUGAAACACGGACC